rnacentral:tRNA from 1 species
AGGGACUUAGUUUAAUGGUAGAAUCACUGUCUUCAAAACAGUUCGCGUAGGUUCGAUUCCUGCAGUCCCUG